rnacentral:rRNA from 1 species
GUCGCCUCCUAAAAGGUAACGGAGGCGCUCAAAGGUUCCCUCAGAAUGGUUGGAAAUCAUUCAUAGAGUGUAAAGGCAUAAGGGAGCUUGACUGCGAGACCUACAAGUCGAGCAGGGUCGAAAGACGGACUUAGUGAUCCGGUGGUUCCGCAUGGAAGGGCCAUCGCUCAACGGAUAAAAGCUACCCCGGGGAUAACAGGCUUAUCUCCCCCAAGAGUUCACAUCGACGGGGAGGUUUGGCACCUCGAUGUCGGCUCAUCGCAUCCUGGGGCUGUAGUCGGUCCCAAGGGUUGGGCUGUUCGCCCAUUAAAGCGGUACGCGAGCUGGGUUCAGAACGUCGUGAGACAGUUCGGUCCCUAUCCGUCGUGGGCGUAGGAAAUUUGAGAGGAGCUGUCCUUAGUACGAGAGGACCGGGAUGGACAUACCUCUGGUG